rnacentral:rRNA from 1 species
AGCACGGGUGCUUGCACCUGGUGGCGAGUGGCGAACGGGUGAGUAAUGCGUCGGAACGUACCGAGUAAUGGGGGAUAACGCAGCGAAAGUUGUGCUAAUACCGCAUACGCCCUGAGGGGGAAAGUGGGGGACCGCAAGGCCUCACGUUAUUCGAGCGGCCGACGUCUGAUUAGCUAGUUGGUGGGGUAAAGGCCUACCAAGGCGACGAUCAGUAGCGGGUCUGAGAGGAUGAUCCGCCACACUGGGACUGAGACACGGCCCAGACUCCUACGGGAGGCAGCAGUGGGGAAUUUUGGACAAUGGGGGCAACCCUGAUCCAGCCAUUCCGCGUGAGUGAAGAAGGCCUUCGGGUUGUAAAGCUCUUUCAGCUGGAACGAAACGGUACGCGCUAACAUCGUGUGCUAAUGACGGUACCGGCAGAAGAAGCACCGGCUAACUACGUGCCAGCAGCCGCGGUAAUACGUAGGGUGCGAGCGUUAAUCGGAAUUACUGGGCGUAAAGCGUGCGCAGGCGGUUUGUUAAGAUAGGCGUGAAAUCCCCGGGCUCAACCUGGGAACUGCGUUUAUGACUGGCAGGCUAGAGUAUGGCAGAGGGGGGUGGAAUUCCACGUGUAGCAGUGAAAUGCG